AGAUACAAGUAGAUAAAUCUAUUUCUGAUGUGCUAAACAAACCCUUGGAGCUAAAUUAGCAGCAUGACUAAUGUAGCCGUUGCUGUUAGUCACCUUCAGACAAAU
rnacentral:snoRNA from 1 species